rnacentral:rRNA from 1 species
UACGUAGGGUGCGAGCGUUGUCCGGAAUUAUUGGGCGUAAAGGGUGCGUAGGCGGCGCGGAAAGUCGGGUGUGAAAUUUCGGAGCUUAACUCCGAAACUGCAUUCGAUACUCCCGUGCUUGAGGACUGGAGAGGAGACUGGAAUUUACGGUGUAGCAGUGAAAUGCGUAGAGAUCGUAAGGAAGACCAGUGGCGAAGGCGGGUCUCUGGACAGUUCCUGACGCUGAGGCACGAAGGCCAGGGGAGCAAACGGG